AAUCAACGCUGGCGGCGUGCCUAAUACAUGCAAGUCGAACGCGAAAGCCCCGCAAGGGGUAAGUAGAGUGGCAAACGGGUGAGUAACGCGUGGGCGACCUACCUUCGAGUGGGGGAUAACCUUCCGAAAGGAGGGCUAAUACCGCAUGACAUCCCGUGUUUGGAUACACGGACAUCAAAGUCGGGGAUCGCAAGACCUGACGCUUGGAGAGGGGCCUGCGUCCGAUUAGCUAGUUGGUGGGGUAACGGCCCACCAAGGCUUCGAUCGGUAUCCGGCCUGAGAGGGCGGACGGACACACUGGGACUGAGACACGGCCCAGACUCCUACGGGAGGCAGCAGUAGGGAAUUGUUCGCAAUGGGCGCAAGCCUGACGACGCAACGCCGCGUGGAGGAUGAAGACCUUCGGGUCGUAAACUCCUUUCGACCGAGAUGAAUACCCACCGACCCAACACGUUGGUGGGCUGACAGUAUCGAGGGAAGAAGCCCCGGCUAACUCCGUGC
rnacentral:rRNA from 1 species